AGUGAACGCUGGCGGUAGGCCUAACACAUGCAAGUCGAACGGCAGCACAGUAAGAGCUUGCUCUUACGGGUGGCGAGUGGCGGACGGGUGAGGAAUACAUCGGAAUCUACUUUUUCGUGGGGGAUAACGUAGGGAAACUUACGCUAAUACCGCAUACGACCUACGGGUGAAAGCAGGGGAUCUUCGGACCUUGCGCGAUUGAAUGAGCCGAUGUCGGAUUGGCUAGUUGGCGGGGUAAAGGCCCACCAAGGCGACGAUCCGUAGCUGGUCUGAGAGGAUGAUCAGCCACACUGGAACUGAGACACGGUCCAGACUCCUACGGGAGGCAGCAGUGGGGAAUAUUGGACAAUGGGCGCAAGCCUGAUCCAGCCAUGCCGCGUGGGUGAAGAAGGCCUUCGGGUUGUAAAGCCCUUUUGUUGGGAAAGAAAAGCAGCAAGUUAAUACCCCGCUGUUCUGACGGUACCCAAAGAAUAAGCACCGGCUAACUUCGUG
rnacentral:rRNA from 1 species